rnacentral:rRNA from 1 species
AUUAUGGGGCAGUGUGACAAGCGGCUGGGUGGUUAUUCCACACACACUCCUUUUGGACGUGUGUGUGGCACUCGUCGCCUUUGUGGGAAAUCCGUGUGGCACUGUUUGUUGUUGGCAGACUUCGGUCUUGCCUUCGCAUCUCACACGUGUCAUGCCUUCCCGAAGGCAUUCUUCAAGGAUACCUUCCUCAAUCAAGAACCAAAGUGUGGGGAUCGAAGAUGAUUAGAGACCAUUGUAGUCCACACUGCAAACGAUGACACCCAUGAAUUGGGGAGUUUUUGGUCGUAGGCGUGGUCGGGUUUGAUUACUUUUUCAUCCCGUUCCUCGUCUCGCCAAUGAAUAUCAAUUUACGUGCAUAUUC